GGUAUCAUAAAUAUCACUGGGCUG
rnacentral:siRNA from 1 species